rnacentral:rRNA from 1 species
GACGAACGCUGGCGGCGUGCCUAAUACAUGCAAGUCGAACGCACUCUCGUUUAGAUUGAAGGAGCUUGCUCCUGAUUGAUAAACAUUUGAGUGAGUGGCGGACGGGUGAGUAACACGUGGGUAACCUGCCCUAAAGUGGGGGAUAACAUUUGGAAACAGAUGCUAAUACCGCAUAAAACCUAAACACCGCAUGGUGUAGGGUUGAAAGAUGGUUUCGGCUAUCACUUUAGGAUGGACCCGCGGUGCAUUAGUUAGUUGGUUGAGGUAAAGGCUCACCAAGACCGUGAUGCAUAGCCGACCUGAGAGGGUAAUCGGCCACACUGGGACUGAGGACACGGCCCCAGACUCCUACGGGAGGCAGCAGUAGGGAA